ensembl:lncRNA
GACUUUUUAACAUGAACACAAGAUCUCUCUCAUAGUCAUUUCUUCACACCAACAUACAUGAUAAAAAACAAAAACUCUCUUAAAUGAAGAAAUGACAUAUGUGGAAAUUUGACAGUGGCAGAUGCUGAAUGUGGUGAGUAGCCUAUUUCUGUUGUUUGAAUUUGGAUUUGGAUUCUGUUACAUCUGAUAAAAUGUUUGAAUAAUUUGCAUCUACUUUUAUUUUUUAUAGAUUCGUUUAUUAAAAUGAUCCAAUCAGAAUAUAAUUCAACACUAAGAAAAAGCUUGAAAGCACGGGGAAACAAAAGGGUACAUCUUUGUACAGCUGUAUUAGUAACGUAAUGGCAAACAUUAGUACACUUAAAAGUGCAUAUUACCACCAAAAGUUACAUAUUUAUACCUUUUGAAAGAGUGACAGUUCCCUUUUUUCUAAAAGUGGGAAAUAAUUUUAACCCUAUGUUUGCAGUGGAGCUCAAUAUACUGUCUUAAAAUAUAUAAUAUAAAAGCAAAACCAAUUUUAUGCUUCAUUUUUUUUUAUCUUUGUACUAUGUUUUAUGUGUUAUAUUUCACAACACAAUGCAAUGUGUGCGUAUUAUUAUUUCUUGCCUUUUGUCAGGUGGAGAAUGGAAAAACGCAACAAACUGGUUCAGGUCUUAUUCAUCUUCCUCAUUCAAUGUAUAAUAGCAUCAAAGGAUGAAGGUAUUAUUGUUGUACAAAAUAUAUUAACAUUCACAAAUUAUAACACACAUUUCUAAACUGGGACAACUGAGUUACUUGAUACAUAUUAAGCUUUGUUUGUUUGAUAUAUGAAAAUUUGACAGAAGUGUUUAUGUGCUAAAAUGUGUUUUACAAAUGUCUUUUUCUACACCUGAGGGUUAGUAAAUGCUACCAGUUUGUGGGGGAAGAAGAUAGAUUUCAUGCAGAAGGACUGUAGUUUCUGGUUGCUGAAAAAUGAACGCAAAAUUCCUUCCUUGAAUGAGCUCAGUGUGUGUGUGAACAUAAAGAGGAAGCUCAGCAAUUCAUACUGGACCGCGUUCACGUAUCUGCACCCUAAUAAGACACGCAUAGAGCUUGGGCUGAAGGGAUUUGGAACAGAACUCCAUGUCAUAAUGUUUGGGAGAGUCUGGACCAAAUCUUCAGUGGUGUCCUUGGACAACUGGCAUUCAAUAUGCAUGACCUGGUCCAACUCCAUGACUGAGCCAAAAGUCUACAUCAAUGGAACCAAAGUAGAAUUAAAACCACAGUCUAAAGGAACGGCUCUGCAUCCUAACUGCUGUAGCGUGGCCGCCGGUGGCACUCUGACUUUAGCUGUGGCCCACAAUUUUGUGAAGAACAAGAUAAGCAUCGAGACGGGCACUGAACUGAAGGGCAGCUUAAGUCUAUUCAGGGUGUGGAAACGAGCACGCAGCGCUCAAGACAUAUCCACGAUGGCCUGCACUGAUGGGGAUAUGCUGCAUUGGGAGAAACGAAUCUGGAACAAAGCCGAAGACUGUAAGCCUAUACAAGACCUUACGCAAAAGUGCGACUGGCCUUUUUAUGAAGUAAAAUUAGUGCUUAUCAUCAUUCGUGAGGAUGGAAACAAAACAAACAUUUACGAUGCCCGAGAAGUUGCUCAUCAGUGGUUGACACAAGCAUUACAAGAAUGGCCAAAUCCUGUACAUUUGCAUAAAGUGAAAGUGUUUCCUAUAGGAAGUACUCUUACACGCUCCAAUGGAAGUGCAAAGGGGGGAACCAUGCAACAGUUUGCCACCAGUCCUGGACUCAGCCAGUGAUAAUCUCUUCUCAUUUGCUUCUUAUCUCCUUUCUAAAAGAACUGUCACAAUCUGCAAGAGCUUGCCUUUCAUUAAUUUGUUUUGCCAUAUUUAUUUACCUUUCAGAGAGAAAAAAAAACAUGCAUAAUUACUGAUUAAAAGUUUGAGAAAUGUUUGAUAAUGUCAUCCUUAUUUAUCUUUGUAGGUUUGAUUGCUUGGCUCACCUGAAUGUGAUUUCUAAUGCUGAUGUAGGAGAAAUACAGGAUGAACUCACUGAGAUCCUCGCCAAGCGUUACAAAAUUGACCACUAUGAAAUAAAAACAGAUGCUAACUUCA